rnacentral:lncRNA from 1 species
UUCCCCAGGAAGCAGGCCAGGAUGGUCUACCUGGGCCGGGGUCUGGAGACACAACAGCAACAGAGACAGACGGACGUGGUUUUCCCCUUCCCGGAGGACGACAGCGGGAAACAUGCAGAGCUCACGACAAAAUGUUGAGGGGUGACCUUUCUCCAGGCUGAUCACUCCCGGGCCCCUGGGUGGCUCCCCACCCAACAGCAUUUCCAAUCUUUUCACCAGAAUUGUCUCAUAGUUCUGCAGGUCAGAAGUGGGACACAGCUCACUGAGCCGAGAUCUGGUGCUGGCCUUGAUCUGUCUCUUUGCCUUUUCAGGUUUCUGGAGACUCCUAUGUCCUCUUUGGCGCGGGGUGCCCUUCCUGCACUUGGAAGCGAGCAACGUCAGGCCGAGUCCUUCCCAUGAUGCCAUCUCUCUCAUUCUUUCCUCCGAUUCUGUCUUCUCCUUUCAAGUCCCUUGGGAUUACACUGGGUCUCCCCAGACCACGCAGGAAACCUCUCUGGUUUAAAAACAGCUGAUAAGCAUCUUUCGUUCCAUCUGCACAAUGGAUUCUUUUUGCCAUGGAACGUAACACGGUCAGGGUUCUGGGAAUUAGGAUGUAGAUCGACAGCUCUGUGGGACUGUUAUCCUGCCUGUGAUUCAUCUCUUCAAAGCAUGCAAUUCAGCCAGGGGUGGUGGCACACACCUGUAAACCAGAGACCCAGGAAGCUGAGGCAGGAGGAUGGCAAAUUCGGUCAGCCUCAGCCACUUGGCAAGGC